rnacentral:lncRNA from 1 species
UUCAAAAUCCUUUUUCGAAUAUCAUCUUCAUUCUCUCCUUUCUCAUCCUCUUAGUUCUAUUCAAAAUAGUUCAAAGAUGGAGUUUUAACAAUUCGACUACCAAAUUGCCACCAGGACCAUGGAAACUACCCCUCAUAGGAAACUUACAUCAGAUUAUCAGCAGAUCAUUGCCCCAUCAUCUCUUCAAAAUUUUGGCAGAUAAAUAUGGACCUCUAAUGCACCUUAAACUAGGAGAGGUACCAUACGUAAUAGUUAGUUCACCAGAAAUUGCCAAAGAGAUUAUGAAAACACAUGAUCUCAACUUCUGCGACAGGCCAAACCUUCUUUUGUCCAAUAUAUAUAGUUACAAUGCUACAGACAUUGCCUUCGCUGCAUACGGUGAACAUUGGAGGCAAUUACGAAAGAUAUGUGUUAUAGAGCUAUUAAGUGCAAAGCGUGUACAAUCAUUUAGGUCCAUAAGAGAAGAUGAGGUGUCAAACCUUGUUAAAUCAAUAACUGCAAGUGAAGGAUCAGUUGUUAAUCUCACUCGGAAGAUUUUCUCAAUGACAAAUGGGAUAACAGCGCGGGCAGCUUUUGGGAAAAGGAAUAGACACCAAGAUGUGUUCAUACCAGCAUUGGAGAAAGUAGUGGUGCUAUUAGGAAGAUUUGAAAUUGCAGAUUUGUAUCCUUCUAUUAAAUUGCUUCAAUGGAUGACUAGGGAGAAGACCAAAAUGGAAAAACUUCAUACAGAGAUUGAUAUGAUAGCACAAGACAUCAUCGACGAUCACAGAAGUAUUCACAAGGAAGCAAGCAAUGAUGAAGAUCUAGUAGAUGUUCUUCUCAAGAUUCAACAGGAAAAUUAUCACUCAGAACAUCCUUUAACCGAUGACAAUAUGAAAUCAAUCAUCCAGGUUAGUCUAAACCGAAAGUGUUAGCAAGUUUAUUUCACAAUUUAAAAACUAGUUUACAAAUUUGCAUACGCUUAGAAGUCAGAUUUCUAGAGGAAAAAUAAAUAAGAUUAUCUUGAUUAAUAAUGCUCAUUCCGUCCCUAUAUCUAAGCAGUAAGCACCCUUUUAUUAGAGGGAAAGGGUGCUUACAUACAGGGACGGGGGGAGUAGUAUUUUGGAGAGACGUCAAAUUAAUGACUUAACUAUUGGGUAGCGUUGUAUGUAAUGUUAAUGUUAAUCCAUUUGUAGGACAUGUUCCUUGCUGGUACCGAAACAUCGUCACAGGUUCUGUUAUGGGCGAUGUCUGAGAUGGUGAAGAACCCAAAGGUAAUGGAAGAAGCACAAGAUGAAGUAAGUAGAGUGUUUGAUAAAAAGGAGUAUGUGGAUGAGACAGAGUUGCACCAAUUGAUAUACUUAAAGUCCGUCAUCAAAGAAACAUUGAGGUUGCAUCCCGUUGCACCAUUGUUAGUUCCAAGAGAAAGUAGGGAGAGAUGCCAAAUCAAUGGGUAUGAAAUCCCAGCUAAGACAAGGGUAAUGGUUAAUGCUUGGGCUAUUGGAAGAGAUUCAAGGUAUUGGGUUGAAGCUGAGAGUUUUAAACCUGAGAGGUUUGUUAAUAGUCCAAUUGAUUUCAAAGGCACGGACUUCGAAUUCAUACCAUUUGGUGCUGGAAGAAGGAUGUGUCCAGGUAUUUCAUUUGCCAUACCCAAUGUUGAGCUGCCUCUUGCUAAGUUACUUUAUCACUUUGAUUGGAAGCUUCCCAAUGGAAUGAGCCAUCAAGAACUUGAUAUGACUGAGUUUUUUGGGAUUACUGUAGGUAGAAAACACGACCUAUGUUUAAUUCCUACUACUCGUCGUCUUUAAUGUGUAUUAUCUAAGCAAACAAAUUCAAAAACAAUGUUCCUAAUAAAAUUUGUAAUGGUAAACUUUACAUAUAGGUUUACUAUAUGUCGUCUAAAAUUUGUGUAUGAUUGUACCACAAAUAUAGAAUAUGUGUCCAAGCAUUGCAUUUGGUUUAGCCAAUGUUGAACUGCGUCUUGCUGAAUUACUUUAUGACUUUGAUUGAAAGCUUUCCAAUGGAAUGAAUAAUGAAGAACAGUCGUUUGGGCUGACAGUCGGAAGAAAACACGACCUAUGUUCGUUUCCUAUUACAGGUUGUCUAUAAUAUUUGUAUUGUGCACUGCCUUUCAAAAAGAAAUAUUUGUAUUGUCUAACCAAAGAAGUUCACAAUGUGGUUAAUUAAUUACUUAUACUACUUUCUGCAAGGCGUCGUGUAAUUCGUUGUUCACAUUUUUAUUAAGAUUCUACGUUUGACAUUAGAUAACUUGAAAAUCCUGGGAUUUCUUCGGUUAAUCAGUUUGUUCCAACUCCUUCAUCAAAUCAAGAUAUGCCAAAGCAUUUGCAUCAUUUUGCACGCCUAUUUUAGUAUGUUUAAUUUGUAAGGAUUAAGAUUUCUCUCUCGGUUUUCUAUGUAGGACCACGAGAAAGAUGCAACUAAUUUCAUUUUUGUGUCAUGUCUCACUUGGUUCUCAGCAUUUGCAAACAUGCAUGUCGGUAAGUAUGUACGAGCAUGAAACAUUAUUCUUGUUAUUCAUUGCCUAUCCAAAAUAAAUAAAUAAAAUAGUUUUUGUAUUCUUUAAUGGGAAAUGCUAAUUAACUUGUCUAUUUAUGAAAUCUUUAACAUGAGUCAUAAGGGUACAAGUUAACAAGACCCUUCAUUAAUUUACCAAGCUUGUUUAAUGUUUUAACUUCAGGGGACACACAAGGAAUGCGGUGAAAGGAAUUUAGCAACAAAUUCAAAAUUCUUUGUGCUUUUGUACCCAAAUAAAUAGAUAUGUUUUUUUUACCUGAAAUCAUUAAAAUUUCAGGUAACGAUAAGUUAAUUAUUAAAGGAGUAAUGCUAGCAACACUCUUUUGAACACACUCUUUAAUACUACAUUUCUUAUUGGUUUAAAUCAUUGUGAGUCUACACUUUGAAAAUUGAACCUACACAAAGUGAUGGGACAUACAUUAAUUUCAUCUAAUAAAAGAGUGGAUGCUACAAAGAGUGUUCAAAAAUAAAUGUUUCUAACAUUACUAUUAUUGAUGUGUUGCCUCUUAUCUCAUUUUAAUAAAAAUCUCACCACUAGUUCAUAUACUUUACCACUAGUUUCUCACACUACACAUUCUAACACUAGGGUUUAUAAUAUCAUUCUGAUUCACGAACUAGUUAAAAGAUGUUGUUUUUUCAAGGGCGAGGGUUUGGUUGUUGCUCUCUUAGUUGCACUCUUAUCCUUUGAAGUUGAUAAAUAAAUGAAACCAAUUACUUCGAUUGAUUAUGAAAGCUCAAAAGACAUAAGUAUAAGGUGUUUUGGAAAGUGGCCCAUAGACCAAAAUUAAUUCAGAUUUUUUUUCCGGUAAGGGUGAUUGAUUUGGUAAUAAUGACAUAUAAUUACAAGUCUAGCAAGACCCUAUUUGAAAAUGAUAGAUUACCAAAUGGAGUUUAUCUGAAAUCACUAGUGUCUCUUGGUUUAACUAUGUAGUGCUAUUAUUAAUUCUUACAAAUAAUUUAUUUGACAUAAUGACCGAAGUAAAUAAUACAUUAAGCUCUUCAAAAUGUUUGUGGAUGAUUUUUUCAUGUGCAUAAUACAAAAAAUAUAAUUCCACAAAAAAAUUGAUAGGAUCAAUUCAAUUUAAUAAGCCCUUGAAGGAAGAUGACAAUCGAGUCUGACAUGGCGUGCUGCAAUUUAAUUAACUCUUAAUCGCAAAUUAUUAAUAUGAUGGUGUUGGACGUUUCAUUUUGACUCCACAAAGUACACCUUAUUCUUCAUGUGUGUCUUACUUUUUAUUAAAUUGCUUUGGACUGGUUGUUCUAUUUUUUACCACACAAAGCACACCUUAUGCUUCAUUUGUGUCUUUAUUAAAUUGCUUUGCAUAUAUUAAAAAAUAAUAAUAAACAACAGGCACAUGUUUGGUGCAAGGAGAAAAUGUUAUUUAACAUGUCUGCAUUAUAUUGAAAUUGCAAGUGAUCUAAUUUUGAGUGUUUUGCAUAGAAAUCUUCUUUGUCAAGGCACUCUUCAGAUUCUCUAGAUCAAGCUACCAUCAUGGAGCUUCAAAACCCUUUUUCGAAUAUCAUCUUCAUGCUCUCCUUUCUCAUCCUCUUAGUUCUAUUCAAAAUAGUUCAAAGAUGGAGUUUUAACAAUUCCACUACCAAAUUGCCACCAGGACCAUGGAAACUACCCCUCAUAGGAAACUUACAUCAGAUUAUCAGCAGAUCAUUGCCCCAUCACCUCUUCAAAAAGUUGGCAGAAAAAUAUGGACCUUUGAUGCACCUUAAACUAGGAGAGGUACCAUAUGUAAUAGUUAGUUCACCAGAAAUGGCAAAAGAGGUUAUGAAAACACAUGACCUUACAUUUUGUGAUAGGCCAAACCUUCUUUUGUCAACAAUAUGGAGUUACAAUGCUACAAAUAUUGUCUUCGCUACAUACUGUGAACAUUGGAGGCAAGUACGAAAGAUAUGUGUUAUAGAGCUAUUAAGUGCAAAGCGUGUCCAAUCAUUUAGGUCCAUAAGAGAAGAUGAAGUGACAAAUCUUGUUAAAUCAAUAACUGCAAGUGAAGGAUCGGUUGUAAAUCUCACUCGGAAGAUUUUCUCAAUGACAAAUGGGAUAACAGCGCGGGCAGCUUUUGGGAAAAGGAAUAGAAACCAAGAUGUGUUCAUAUCAGCAAUGGAGAAAGUAUUGGUGCUAUUAGGAGGAUUUGAAAUUGCAGAUUUGUAUCCUUCUAUUAAAAUGCUUCAAUGCAUGAGUAGGGAGAAGACCAAAAUGGAAAAAAUUCAUAGAGAGCUUGAUAUGAUAAUGCAAGACAUCAUCGACGAUCACAGAAGCAUUCACAAGGAAGCAAGCAACGAUGAAGAUCUAGUAGAUGUUCUUCUCAAGAUUCAACAGGAAAAUUAUUACUCAGAACAUCCUUUAACCGAUGACAAUAUGAAAUCAAUCAUCCAGGUUAGUCUAAAACCAAAAGUGGUAGCAAGUUUAUUUCACAAUUUAAAAACUAGUUUAUAAAUUUGCAUAGCUUAGAAGUCUGAUUUCUAGAGGAAAAAUAAUUAGGAUUAUCUUGAUUAAUAAUAGUAAUUUGGAGAGAACAUCAAAUUAAUGACUUAACUUUUGGGUAGCGUUGUACGUAAUGUUAAUGUUAAUCCAUUUGUAGGAUAUGUUCAUUGCUGGUACCGAAACAUCGUCAGAGGUAUUGUUAUGGGCGAUGUCUGAGAUGGUAAAGAACCCAAAGGUAUUGGAAGAAGCACAGAUUGAAGUAAGAAGAGUGUUUGAUAAAAAGGGGUAUGUGGAUGAGUCAGAGUUGCACCAAUUGAUAUACUUAAAGUCUGUCGUCAAAGAAACAUUGAGGUUACAUCCCGUUGCACCAUUGUUAAUUCCAAGAGAAAGUAUGAAGCCAUGCCAAAUUAAUGGGUAUGAAAUCCCAGCUAAGACAAGGGUAAUGGUUAAUGCUUGGGCUAUUGGAAGAGAUUCAAGGUAUUGGGUUGAAGCUGAGAGUUUUAAACCUGAGAGGUUUGUUAAUAGCACAAUUGAAUUCAAAGGCACGGACUUCGAAUUCAUACCAUUUGGUGCUGGAAGGAGGAUGUGUCCCGGAAUUGCAUUUGCCCUACCAAACAUUGAGCUACCUCUUGCUCAAUUACUUUGCCACUUUGAUUGGAAGCUUCCCAAUAAAAUGAAGAAUGAAGAACUAGAUAUGACCGAGUCAUUUGGGAUUACUGUAGGAAGAAAGCACGAUCUAUGUUUAAUUCCUAUUACUCGUCGUCUUUAAUAUGUAUUUUCUAAGCAAACAAGUUCAGAACGAUGUUCCUUAUAAAAUUUAUGUAUGAUAUUUGUACCACAAAUAUAGAAAUAUUUGUCAAGCAUUGCAUUUGGUUUAGCCUCUUGCUGAAUUAUUUUAUGAAUUUGAUUGAAAGCUUCCCAAUGGAAUGAAUAAUGAAGAACUUGAUAUGAUUGAGAGUCAUUUGGGCUUACAGUCCAAAGAAAACACGACCCAUAUGUUUGGUUCCUAUUACUGGUCGUCUACGAUAUUUAUAUUGUCUAAGCAAACAAGUUCACAAUGUGGUUAGUUUUCUUAUACUACUUUCAGCAAGGUGUAUGAAUCGUUGUUGAUUUUUUUUUUUUUUUUAAGAUUCUACGUUUGACAUUAGUUAGAUAUUCAAUUUAGUUCUUCUUAAGUUAAUCAGUUUGUUCCAACUCCUUCAUCAAAUCAACAUAUGCUAAAGCAUUUGCAUUAUUUUGCACGCCUAUUUUAGUAGGUUUAAUUUGUAAGGAUUAAGAUUUCUUUCUUUAUCUCUCUCUUGGUUUUCUGCGUAGGACCAGGAGAAUGAUGCAACAAAUUUAGGGUAUACUGAAUUUCAUUUAAAAAAUGUACAUCCGGAAAAUGUACAUCCGAUAUGUAAUUAUCGGAUGUGUAUUUAGGGUCUAAGAGAUAUUAGGGGACCUAAAGAGAAAUGUUCGAAAUAUUUUGUGCUUUAGAAAGAGGGAAAAAAGAGACAUGAUUAGGCACAAUUUUUUUCAAGAUUUAAUUCUUAAUAUUAUAAGAUGUAUAUGGCGAACAUGCCGGUUUUUGUUCUUCUUUGCAGUUUUUUUAUAAAUUUUUAUUUACACUAUUAUAAAUAUAUCUUUCAUCCAUUGAUCACAAACCACAGUCCUUCUUUUCUUCAAAAAAAAAAAAAAAACGAAACAAACCACGGUCCUUCUUACUCAUCAGUACAUUUUUCUCAUAUCAUAAUUCUCUCUACUUUCAUAUUCUCUAUCAUGUCUUCUCCUUCUCCUCCGCUAAAAACCAUUAAUCAAUUCGAUCAUAUAAAAAAAACCUUUUGAAACAUAUAUAUCUUCAAAAAAAGCAUUAAGAGGGUUGAAGAAUCAACUCAACAAUUUUUUUAUUUAGCUAACGAUCUUACUUGAAAGGUGACUCAUAUUUAUUAUGGGGAGCCUUUGAUCUCAUUGGCAUCUAAUAAACAUUUUGAUUACUAUCGUGAAUAUAAACUACUUGAGACUAACACGGAAGUACAAGACAUGUUUGCGGAACAAGAGUUUGGAUUGAGUGGUGAUACAUGUACCACCCCAUGUGGCAAUACACCCUUUACACCCAUACAAAAUUCUGACACGUGGCAACCUGGACCCCACACAAAUAGAAGAUAAAGUGUGGUUGUGAGAUGAACUUACCAAAAUAUCCCUAAUACAUAGGGUGUAUAAUGAGGUGUAUGAAUAAAGGGUGUUCAUGUAACAUUUUCCGUUUGGAUUAGAACCGCUUUUUUUGUACGUUAAGUCUGAGUAGAUUAUGAUAAGUAUCUACAAUUAACUUAUGUCAUGUUUGUUUAUCUAAUUUAAUGUAUUUGUAUCUUAGCGCAUUAUCUUCAUGUUGUAAUAAGUUUUUCAAUGAAAUUGCAUUCCUCAUUUAUUCUACAUUGUCUAUUAAUGUGUUUAAUUAACAUAAUAAAAAUUAACGAUAGAGAUGAGUUAAACGAUAAUAAUAACUAUAUGAAGAUAAUUUAAAAUAAAAUAAAAUAGAAAGUAAAUUUAAUAUUGGUAUGAGGAAAAUUCGUGCGAAUAUGACUGUUUUGCUGACACAAUCUACAUUUUCUCGGUGUUUUUUCCACAACAUCCAUUUUAGUCCAAAUACGAAUAUUGUUUGGUCGACCAUUCUUUAGUAUUUGUAUGGCGGGUUUGUGGCAAAGCUUGGGACCUUCAUGUGGGGGACAAUAACUCGUAUCGUGGACUAUUUCGAACCUUGUAUUAUGGGUGGCGUAUAGACUCUCGUUUAAACUUAUGUAUAAUGGUUCGGUAGUCAUGAUGAAAGCUAGAACAUGUGGCUAUAAUAUUAGAGCAAGGCAUAUAUGUAAAGCUUGAAAUUUCUCAUAGUCACACAACUCUGCUUACACGUCUACCUUGAAAGAUCUCAUUGACCUUCCCUCCCUAUAUUUGAUUGUUUCACAGACAGAGAAAGUAUAUAUCUAUCGAUCAAAUCAAUCAACUUGAUGAGGGUUGAACUUACCCACGACUUCCCGAAUCACCUUCAUACAGUAUUUCGUAAAUGGCAUAACCCACCCUUACAUACGCCUCAUGUCAUGUGCUCCCUUCAUAGUAGGUUGAUUGAACAAGAGCUGUGUUAUAAAUCCAAUGAACUUUCCAGCACGAUUUUAAAAAAAUAUAUAUAUUUAAACUAUUGAGAGCUCAACAAAGCAGCAAUAAGAAAAGGAAGAAGGAUCCCACGAAUUUGAAAGACAUUUUUGUAUUGUUUGACGUUCACAUGACACCAAAAAUAGCACAAAAAGCACCUUACCCUUUUCUCGAAACCAGUCUACUACCAAAAAUAGCACAAAUAGCACAAGGAAUAGUGGAUGAUUAUUUCAUGUGGAUAAUACAAAAAAUAUAAUUCCACAAAAAAAAAAAAAAAAAGUUUUCUAAACCGCAAAUUAUUAAUAUGAUGUCUGUUCUUGACUUCCAAAGUUUUCUAAAAUGUUCAUAUAAAAAAAAUAAAAAAAUUUCUAAGUAUUUUGAUUUAGCGAUAUGCUUCUUGUGUAGUGGUUGUUUUAUUUUGACUCCACAAAGUACACCUUAUUCUUCAGUGUGUCUUUUUAUUUAAUUAUUUUGGAUUGGAUGGUAUCAAUAUUUUUAAUUAUACGUGCUUUAGGUGUAUUGGAGGAUAUCAUCCAAUGAGGAGCACCUAUUUUUGACCACACAAAGCACACCUUAUCCUUCAUGUGUGUCUUUAUUAAAAUGCUUUGCAAAUAUAUAAAAAUAUUAACAACAGGCACGUUGGUUGGUGCAAGGAGAAAAUGUUAUUAAUAAAUAAUAUUUCUUUACAUUGGAACGUGUAUCUUAAUGUUAAUACUGUAUUGAUUUUAUAUUAGUAUUUGUUGCGUAUUAAUUAACAUGUCUGCAUUGUAUAGAAAUUGCAAGUGAUCUAAUUUUGAGUGUUUUGCAUAGAAACCUUCUUUGUCAACAAGGCCUUUGGAUUCUUUAGAUCAAACAACCAACAUGGAGCUUCAAAACCCUUUUUCGAAUAUCAUCUUCAUGCUCUCCUUUCUCAUCCUCUUAGUGCUAUUCAAAAUAGUUCAAAGAUGGAGUUUUAACAAUUCCACUACCAAAUUGCCACCAGGACCAUGGAAACUACCCCUCAUAGGAAACAUACACCAGAUUAGUGGCAGCUCACCCCCCCAUCACCUCUUCAAAAAAUUGGCAGAAAAAUAUGGACCUUUGAUGCACCUUAAACUAGGAGAGGUACCAUAUGUAGUAGUUAGUUCACCAGAAAUGGCAAAAGAGAUUAUGAAAACACAUGACAUCACAUUUUGUGAUAGGCCAAAUGUUCUUUUACCUAGAGUAUUUACUUACAAUGCUAGAGAUAUUGCUUUCUCUACAUACGGAGAACUUUGGAGACAAUUACGAAAGAUAUGUGUUGUAGAGCUAUUAAGUGCAAAACGUGUCCAAUCUUUUAGUUUCAUAAGAGAAGAAGAGGUGUCCGAUCUUGUUAAAUCAAUAU